GAUUGGAUCACUCGGCUCGUGGGUCGAUGAAGAACGCAGCGAAAUGCGAUAAGUAAUGUGAAUUGCAGAAUUCAGUGAAUCAUCGAAUCUUUGAACGCACCUUGCACUCCUUGGUAUUCCGAGGAGCAUGCCUGUUUGAGUGUC
rnacentral:rRNA from 1 species